GAGCCCAAGCCGAAGGCCUCCUCCUCCUCCUCCUCCCCCGUCGCCGACGGUAUCGGCGUCACCAUGCGGCGUCUCACCUCCGCUCCGCUCCCCUCCCCUCUCCAUUUCGAAAUGGGCGCGGCGCGAGAGAGGCCGGCUCGCCGCCGCGCCGCUCCCCGCGGCGGCGUCCAGCCGAGUUAGCACCAUGUGAGUAUCCCCCCCCCCCACCACCACCACCAGUCCCCACGUCUCCUCCCUCCACAGCGCCGCACCACCGUCACGCGGUGAUCGCGGUGGGGGCCAUCGCUGAUUGCUGGAGGCGCCGCGGUCCCGGAUUUUCCCAAAGACCUCCUUCGCAAAUUUAUGGAUCAUGCUUCUUGGAAUGAUGAUAUUAAGCCAUGGGUGUGGGACUUCCCACAUGCCCUUAGCUCUCAACUUCAUCUCAGAAGAGUGUACCCUAUCCAAGAACUCUAUGUAUGUUACAUCCGUGUGGAAUAAGGAGGAAGGCAUAUAUCUAAGUUGAGACAGCAGUGUGUUGACCUCCUGUAAACAUAUAUACAUACAGAAUUCAACCACUCAAACUUGACCUCAUUUUACUUGGUUUAUAAACAUCUUUAGUGACAUAAGGGUAAUGGUUGGCUCACCUGUUCCAUGACAUCAGCCUCGUCAGGGUUGAAGUUCUUUGUCAUCUCAAGGCAGAAGAGCACUUUUCCAUCUGAUUCAAACUGGCUAGAACGCACUGGGUCCUGCGGAUUGAAGGACGACCUCCAGUUGUUCAGGAUGCCUGUCCUAUUUAUGAUGACAAAGCCCUCGAUGUAGUCAAAUGUCUUCUCUGCUGAAAUGAGCAUUUCCUGGUCUUCGGUGAAGCUUGUGAAAUCCAAGUUCAAGAGGAAUCCUGGCUCUUGUGAUGACGCCAAACUGACCUAGGCCACCAAGGGCAGCAUGGAAGAGAUCAGAGUUUUGUUCAGCUCGUUGACAUUGCUGAUCUGUGGGCCAUGCCGGAAGGUCUGCCCACUGACUCCUGCAUUCGACAGUGUGCCUCCAACCGUGAGAUGGAGAUAGUCCGUCCACGACUUUGGUGCUAAACCAUACUUCAGAGUCUCAUGCAAAACAUUUAUCCAGAGUUCUCCUCCUGAAGCAUCGACAUAGGGUGAUACGCCAGGGUUCACCCUCAUUGUGUUACUCUGGAGGGAUUCCAUACUGAUGAUGAUUCCCUCAGCAGCCUGGGACUGCCCAUACAGCGAGUGCCCAUGUCCACGGGCUGCCACUGUGAGCGUGGAGUGCUCACCCAUCAAGAACACAUGCCUGAUGGUUGUGGCAAUGUCAGCCACUGAGCCAGGAUGAAGCACCGCAACCGGCGGGAAGCUGGACAGGUUGCCAAAGUCCUGUGCAGCAGCAGACACAUCGUGGAAGCUGAAAUGGCCAUCAAGGGUGAGUUCCUCCAGGGAUGAUGGCACAUCUUGUUUAGGCACAUGCAUGGUGGUGACACCACCAAGGGCAAGUAACAGGAGCAGCUUCAGAUACUGCAAGAGUGAUGGCCUCAUGGCUCUUCUACGUGUCAAGAAUGAACAAUAUUCUGUGGCAAUGUUUUGAGAGGAAGACAAAAUGUGCAGGAGGACAGUUGUUCACUGCCAAGAGCAGAGGGAUGGGAGUGGAGAUGGAGGGAGAGAAGGAGAUUUAAAGGAAAACCUUGAAGGGUAUGUAUGUGGACUGGUGCAGGAAGUGGCGUGGUCAAACCGGUAUUGGGCACUGUUUGGUAGACUAGAAACCCAUGUGAGGAUGUGCUGCUUACAAAAUUUGGAAGAAUACAUGUUUCUUUUGGAGGAAGCUAUGUUGCGGUGGUUGAUGGCUCUAUUUGAGAUGCUAAUGUUCUUUCUUCCUUGGCUUCUGUUUCAAGCAUGGUGCAGCAUCUGUCAGUAAGUGAUUGGAUGCAGGGAAAAAAUGAUGCAUUCGUUUAGUAAACUCAGUCUAUCACAGUACAUAUCUUUCACUACAGCUUGUUCAGAGGAACAGUGACAUAGAAGAGAUCAAGCAGGUGCAGUGAACAGAGAUGGGUUUUGAGCGUGUAUCUGGUGUGGAUCUCAGAAGGAUUGAGAUUCUGAUGAAGUCAUAUGUAGGGAAAAAGAAGUGAUAUCAGGUAUUCAAGUGGCAAACCUGGUUGCUCCUGAGCAGGCCUGCUUGAUCCCUCAAAUUCGAUUUCUCAUGCAAAAAUUCAUGUUGGUCUUUGCGAGGAUGAGCCAAAGUGCUAUCUCUGUGCUUUCAUAUUUACAAGUGGCAAGCCUCCUCUCAAGCAUAUCUGAUUAAGUUUCUUCCCAUAUUUCUUUUUCGGAUGUUGGGGCCUGUUUUCCAACUGCAUGAAGAUCAAUUUCUUGCAGAACAUAUAAACAGAAAUGUAGCUGAUGCCAUGCCUGCAUACCACCCAUGAGUGGCAUACCUAAUAUCAAUAUCAAGGAAUGACUUCCUGUAGUGCUCUUCUUCCUUGAGAGCACACGCAAUAAGCUAUCAAAAGAGUAUACAUCUUUUCCAAGAAAACGAAAGGGAAUGACAGAGAAUUGCCACUCUCUAACCCAAGAAAUAUCACACAAGCCUCAAUAGAACCACAGGUGUACGGGACAAGCAUGUGCCACCGGAACUCCAUUCGCUUGCGUACUUGCACGGGUAGACGGGUGAUCAAGUUUCUGGGCAACGUUACGCGUGACUACUCCUAUUCAUCUUUGCCUUCACCAACGUGUCAACGGAGAACACUGAAGACAACGAGGUGAACGGAAACGACAACAACACUGGAGACAAGGAGGUAAACGGGAACGACGUCGACGGAGAACACUGGAGAGGAGGUGAACGGGAACGACAACACUGGAGACGUGAACGGAAACGACAACACCAACAGAGACAAUACUGCCUCAAACUCCAGCGGCGGAGUGCCAUUCUUAUGAUGCUCCAAUUUAUCAACUGCACUAAUUCAUACCCUAAUUUAUCAA